AACGGCCGUACCAUGCUGAAUAUACCGGUUCUCGUUAGAUCACCGAAGUCAAGCAUCAUUGGGCGCGGUCUGUACUUGGGUGGGUGACCACCUGGGAACACCGCGUGCCGUCG